UGGAGUGAUGUGAUUAGAUCCAGUUC
rnacentral:piRNA from 1 species